rnacentral:lncRNA from 1 species
CUAGCCUGAGUCUGGCCUCUGGACUCUGGGAAGCCUCUAACAGUCUGUUCCUUUCUUGAUGUGCAGUCUUGUAGGAAAUCCCACAGCAUCUCAAGGGGCCAGGAGAGGUUUUGCCAUGGAAGCCGUAGGGAGCUGAAGCACACUGAAGAGCCAGCUCCGGAGAUUCAUAAUCAUGUGAGCCGUGAGCCUUCCACGGACAGUGAGGCUAUGUGUCCCCCUCCCACGGACCUAUAUGCCCUUUGCCCUGGGUGGAGCAGAUGAGUAUGAACAAUUCACUGAGGGAGAAGGAGAAACAGCAGGACUCUAGACACUUCUUUCGGAUCCCUACCAUUGCAGCCUUAUCCACCAAGGCCACGCCCUCAGCGCAGGGGUUCUCAGAGCAGUCAGCACACAUGUUUGGCCUCAUUAGGAAGCAGAGGCUGGCUUUGAACCUGAAGUCUUCUGGCCCCAAUCUCUUGAGCCCCUGUUAGGAGUACAGGCAGCACACCUGCCCUGGCUCCCUCUGGUAUUUUAAUUGAGACUGAAUUCUGUUGGAACUGCUUAUGGAUAGAGGGUAGC